UACGGGAGGCAGCAGUGGGGAAUAUUGCACAAUGGGCGAAAGCCUGAUGCAGCAACGCCGCGUGAGGGAUGACGGCCUUCGGGUUGUAAACCUCUUUUAGUAGGGAAGAAGCGAAAGUGACGGUACCUGCA
rnacentral:rRNA from 1 species